rnacentral:misc_RNA from 1 species
AAUUCUCAACCAUAUCAAAUUCUUUUUGACUUGGCUUGGUUAUUGGAAGCCUGCAGGUCUUAUUUUUAUAUGGGUCUGCUCUUCUGAAAUGCAUUAGUGGUGUCUGAGCAGAAGCUACUACAGAUGUGAUAAUAAUUUUUACAUCUUGGUCAAUGCUGCAUGAGCAGAUUAUACUGCUUCUAAAAGUGAAUGUAUUAUGAUAA